GUCAGGAGAGAAAGGACAGCUGACAGAUUGAAAAGGGACGGAUGGACUCUGUAACGUGAUGAGGCAGCCUCGAGACCAAGGCUAUUCUGGGCUGCACUCACUAGAGCUGUGAAGUAGAGGCAGGGCCUGCUCCCUGCUUCAUGUUUCCAGAGGCUAAAAGGAUUCUUAUCAUGAAGGUGAGGACCUCAGACUAUAUGGCCAACUCCAUUUGACAUUUAAUUCAUGCAAUAAUCUCUCCUUGCUCUGAACCUAUACUCAGUGUAUUAGGGCUGCCAUAAUAAAGCAGCACAAACUGAGUGGUCUAAACA
rnacentral:lncRNA from 1 species